rnacentral:rRNA from 1 species
GACGAACGCUGGCGGCGUGCUUAACACAUGCAAGUCGAACGAAGUGGCGAACGGGUGAGUAACGCGUAAUCAACCUGCCCUUCAGAGGGGGACAACAGUUGGAAACGACUGCUAAUACCGCAUACUGAAGGAGGGGAUUGCGGCUGAUUAGCUAGUUGGGGGGGUAACGGCCCACCAAGGCGAUGAUCAGUAGCCGGUCUGAUAGGUUGAACGGCCCACUGGGGACGGAGGCACGGCCCAGAAUCCUACGGGAGGCAGCAGUUGGGAAUCUUCCGCAAUUGACGAAAGUCUGGCGGCGCAACGCCGCGGGAGUGAUGACGGCCUUCGGGUGGUAAAGCUCUGUUAAUCGGGACGCGGUACCGGAAUAGAAGGCCACGGCUAACUACGUGCCAGCAGCCGCGGUAAUUC